AUGAAGGUGGGCAGCAUGGUGUUCACAGUUGCUCUUGUGUUCAUCGGGUGCCUACUCAUGGUUGGACAAUGUCGUCCUGAGCCCAAGAGCACCUAUGAAGAUGGCCAUAGCAACACGACUAUGGUGUUCCAGAGCAAACUUGCCUUGAAAUGGUGUGUCGCAAGGGAUUGUAAGACCAAGCAUGAACCGUCGCUAUUCGCCCCUCGAUGCUUUUGCUGUUUCAAUGCGCAGGGAACACCUUGCUUUAAAUCCAUAGGGGAUUGCCAGAAUCACUGCCCAACUCUUCCACCCGGAAAAUAA
rnacentral:rRNA from 1 species